CACAUCGUCGUUAUCCUUCUCGUUGUUCGUCGUUGCCAGCGACAGGAGCAGCAGCAGCGCACGCCUGCGGGCUGUUCUAUAUAUACAGAUAUAUAAGGGGUGCUUUCUCUCUAGCUGCACCAAAGCAACAGCCUCUGCUUUUGCUUGCUCACCCUGUACAUUUGGCGCACUUAUCAAUGAUAACAAGCAACCGCUGCCUGUGUGUGAGGGUUGAAAAUUGCGUAUACGCCGCGUGUGCUGCAUUAUAUAUGGGGUCCUGUGAGCUUAUCGUUAUUGAGCUGUUGUGUGUGUGUUUGGAUGUUUGCUAAAAUAACAAAAGGCAGCUUAAAGUGCUAACCAUAAAAUGUAUUGCACAUAGAUACCCAUCAAGUAUACAUUUUCCCCCAGCUGCAAAUAAACACGUCUCUAUUAUGGCAAAUACGCUUAAAUACCUAAAA